UACGGGGGGAUGCAAGUGUUAUCCGGAAUAAUUGGGCGUAAAGCGUCUGUAGGUGGUUGACCAAGUCUGUUGUUAAAAAUCAGGGCUUAACCCUGAUCCGGCAACAGAAACUAGUAAACUUGAGUACGGUAGGGGCAGAGGGAAUUCUCGGUGUAGUGGUGAAAUACGUAGAUAUCGAGAAGAACACCAAUAGCGAAAGCACUCUGCUGGGCCGAAACUGACAUUGAGAGACGAAAGCUAGGGGAGCAAAAGGG
rnacentral:rRNA from 1 species